GACGAACGCUGGCGGCGUGCUUAACACAUGCAAGUCGAACGGAAAGGCCCUGCUUUUGUGGGGUGCUCGAGUGGCGAACGGGUGAGUAACACGUGAGUAACCUGCCCUUGACUUUGGGAUAACUUCAGGAAACUGGGGCUAAUACCGGAUAGGAGCUCCUGCGGCAUGGUGGGGGUUGGAAAGUUUCGGCGGUUGGGGAUGGACUCGCGGCUUAUCAGCUUGUUGGUGGGGUAGUGGCUUACCAAGGCUUUGACGGGUAGCCGGCCUGAGAGGGUGACCGGCCACAUUGGGACUGAGAUACGGCCCAGACUCCUACGGGAGGCAGUAGUGGGGAAUAUUGCACAAUGGGCGGACGCCUGAUGAAGCAACGCCGCGUGCGGGAUGACGGCCUUCGGGUUGUAAACCGCUUUCGCCUGUGACGAAGCGUGAGUGACGGUAAUGGGUAAAGAAGCACCGGCUAACUACGUG
rnacentral:rRNA from 1 species